rnacentral:rRNA from 1 species
AAUCUACCUAAAGGUUCGGAAUAACUGCGGGAAACUGUAGCUAAUACCGGAUGUGUCUGUGAAGAGAAAGAUUUAUCGCCUUUAGAUGAGCCCGCACUAGAUUAGCUAGUUGGUGAGGUAAUUGCUCACCAAGGCUACGAUCUAUAGCUGAUUUGAGAGGAUGAUCAGCCACACUGGGACUGAGACACGGCCCAGACCCCUACGGGAGGCAGCAGUAGGGAAUAUUGGACAAUGGGGGAAACCCUGAUCCAGCAAUGCCGCGUGAGUGAAGAAGGCCCUCGGGUUGUAAAACUCUUUCAUCAAUGAUGAUAAUGACAUUAGUUGAAGAAGAAGCUCCGGCUAACUUCGUGCCAGCAGCCGCGGUAAUACGAAGGGGGCUAGCGU